AAAAGUAAAAAGGGGGAUUUUAUAUGCAAUGAAUUCAAGUAGAAUGAUUAAAGAAACAAGUAAACGAUUAACUAAUUGAGAUAGAUUCACAUUUUAAUAAAGACUCCAACUUCAUGUAAGAUGUUUGGUGUCACACCCCAAAACCGGAACGGCGGAAACGUUCAGGGGUGGAGGACGUCAUGUAUAGUAUCACAACACAGAAUAACAGUAAACAAGUAAACAACAUCAUACAUUGCAUUAAUAAUAUAAUUUUAAUACAAGUGUGUUCUAUGGUUUAUAAGACACCAAAAUAUAAAUCAAAAAUAAAAGAUGAGUCUUGUGUGUGCUCCAUCUUCUCAAAAGUUGUCCUCGAUACCUGACUACUGAUGACCUGAGAAUACAAGUUAUUUUAAAAGAGUUUAUCAACAUUAAAGCUGGUGAGUUCAUAAGUAUUUUAGUGUCAUUAUUUGUAUGAAAAUGUUUGUAAGUGUUUGAAUGUAAAAGCUUGUAAAACUUUGUAGUAAGUUGUAAGUGUUUGCUAGUAGUAAAAUGUUCAUUGUAAAGGUUUGUAAAACUUGUUUGUAAAAUGUUCGUAUCUCCCUAGAAAAUCCCAUAUUUGCUACUAAACUGUAGUUUUUUUACCAAGACCCAAUGUUCGGUUUGUUUGUUUGUAAAAGUAUGUAUCAUUCCCAAGUUUAACUAUCAUUAUCAAAAUACAGUUUGUACAUUAUCGUUUAUCUAGAAAAUGUUACAAGGCAAAUGUAUUAGGGAAAAUAUUAUAGAACUGUAGUUUGUAUAUGUAAACUACCUUAAUACUGCUUACCUUAAAGCCAGUGAACUAUAAGGUAAGGUAAGAUUUGUAACCAUACUGAUUGACGGAUGAAUAAACACGACGAUGAAAGACGUCGAAAAUAAAUGUGACAUUUGUCACCCCAUCGGCUUGGUUGGCCUAAGACUGUAGCUAACAGUCAGGGCGUGGGAUAGUGUGUCCCGUAUAGAUCUAUACACACAAUGUCCGCUCUCUCUCCAGGAGACUCUAGUUACCAACAUGACAACAGUGGAAUCCGCGUCAUGUAGAAAUAAAUCUCAUAUUCUAAAUGUUAGUUGAUGUAUGCUCCUUCUGUUUACUUAUAAAUGUAUAUGUAUAUGUUCUCUUCUUGUAUAUGUAUAUGUAUAUGAUCUCUUCUUUGUAUUUGUAUAUGUAUAUGUUCUUGUUUAAUCCUGACAAUAGUACGUUCUGACUCAUGUAUGAACUGACUCUUUGUAUGUUUCAUAGUAGUUAGAAUUACUAAGUAGUAUCUUCCUAAACUAUACCUAUUAUAGUUUAUUAGUAGAAUUGUUUGUAUAACCAAAUGUAUUGAACUGAGGUAAAAGCUAUUAUAUCUUAUACAUAUAUACAUAAUAUAUAAAUAAGGAUCAAACGACACUCGGACAAAUGAUAUGGUACUCCAAGCCCACAACCAAACAAGGAACAUGAAAUAGAGUGUAAUAUCAGUCCUAAGUCCUUCAAACCUUACUUAUAUAACUAUAUGUGCAUUAGACAUGGUUUUGACAAUAUAUAAGUUUAAAAGAAUUAAAAAUCAUGUUUUGAUAAAUAAGACUAAGUUUUACAAAGGGUUUAAUAUGUAAAAACGUUUGAUAAUCAUUUUGAAGUAGUUUUGUUGACAAAACAGUUAAAAGUAUAGAAAAUCCAUUGUUUGCUAGUUAUUAAUCACAUGUGAUUGAUAUAAUAACUAGUAUGAUUCAACUUGUAUUCCCCCCCCCCCAUAAAAGCAUUUAAAAACAAUUAAAAUGUUAACUAAGGGGUAUGAACUCACCCGUGGUGAGUGAUGCGACGGUAGGAUCGGUUUAGGAAGUUGAGCGUCAAUUGCGGAUUUGAACACAAACGAAUCCUAUUAACCAUAUAAUGACAUAUAUAUAUANGUAGACGUACAUACAUACAUACAAUUAUAUAUAUAUAUAUGUAUAUGUAUAUGUAUAUACAGUUAGUGUUUGAAACAACUAAUUAUUUAUUUUGGACCACCUUAGGGACUAGUAAACGCUUAUAUUGAAGUGUUACAACCAUAUAUGAUGUAUAAGAGGUAUAUGGCUAUACAAGGGAGUGUAUGGUCAAAAUACACUAAAUUGGUGUGUGUGCGGCCAGGGUGUGUGUGUGGCCACAAACUCCUUUUGAAGUGUGUCAAAACAUAUCUUAAGGCCUUAGGACUCAUUUAGGAAGGUUUCUUACUUCAUGUUCUGGGCUUAUAUGGAGUUUAUUGCCAUUUUAGGACCCAAAAAAGGUGUGUAUGGUUGCACAUGGUGUGUGCGGCUGUACACACUUGCAGAUCACAUGAUAUGGCGCUUUUCUUGCUUAAAUGAAGGGUCUUUAGCUUAUAUCAAGCCAUUGCAAGUGUAUACCCGAUUUAGAGGCUUAAAAGUGUAGUUAAAGUCCAAAACGUUUAGUAGGUGUUCUUGGUGUUUUUGAAGAUUUAACACUAAAAAGGUGUUUUCAUGGAUCAAAGUAGGGAAGAAGGCUAGUUAAGUGCAAGAAUCAAUAAAUCAAAGGAAGGAUUACUUACUUUUAUGAAGAUCAAGAUGAAGAUUUGGAUGGUACUUGAGAGAAAAACGUGUUCCAGCUUUGAGGGAGUGGGAAAAGUAUUCAAAAUGACUAAGGAUGGCAUAUGUAGGCAAGAGUGUGUGGCUGGGAUGGGUGUGCGGCCGCAACCUGUGUGUGGCCGUACACUCAAGUGUACGGCCGCACACUCCAUGUUUUGGAGUGUUUAGACCGAUUUUGCUUGAUAUGCAUCGUGUUAUCCCAUUUCUAUGUUCCUACCUCAAUUGUACUAGGUUUAGAACACUCAGAUAAACCCAAAACAAUGCUAAAAGCUAGGAAAACGAGUCUAACUUUGAUUAAAUUGAUCUAUUGUAUAAGAUGGAAAUUUUGGGUUGUCACAUCAUCCCCCCGUUAGAGAGAUUUUCGUCCCGAAAUUAGAGUUUAAGCAAUCAAUAGUUACAAAUAACUAAGCGAAAAGAUGAGGAUAUUUCAGUUUCAUUUGAUCCUCACGUUCCCAAGUGAAUUUCGGUCCUCGCUUGGAGUUCCAGCGAACCUUCACGAUCGGGAUGUGCCUUUGUUUCGUUUUCUUGACCUCUCGGUCCAUGAUCUCUACAGGUUCUUCCACGAAGUUGAGGCUCUCGUUGAUCUCGAUCUCAUCGAGUGGGAUUACGAGAGUCUCGUCAGAUAGACACUUUUUCAAAUUCAAGACGUGGAAUGUAGAAUGUAUGUUACUGAGUUCGCGGGGUAGGUUGAGUUUGUAAGCUAUAGGGCCGAUUCUAGCAAGAAUCUCGAAAGGCCCUAUGUAUCUUGGAUUUAGUUUUCCACGCUUUCCGAAGCAUAUCAAGCCCUUCCAGGGUGAGAGUUUCAAAAGAAUGUGGUCUCCCACAUGAAAGUCCAAAGGUUUCAGUCGUUAGCUUUUCUGUCGGCCUCUAGAGGCUUUCAAUCGUUCACGAAUCUGAACGAUCUUCUCUGUCGUUUCCUGAAUGAUCUCCAGACCUGUAAGAGCACUGUCAGGAACUCAUCCUUUAGCUAACUGUGUGUCACUCACUUCAGCCCAGCACAGAGGGGAUCUGCACUUCCGGCCAUUGAGGGCUUCAAAUGGAGCAGCCUUUAUGCUCGUGUGAUAACUGUUGUUGUAGGAAAAUUCGACAAGGGGUAAGUGAGUAUCCCAUGCCUUCCCAAAGUCAAUCACAUAGGUUCUCAACAUAUCUUCCAGUGUUUGUAUCGUUCUCUCACUUUGUCCGUCGGUCUGUGGAUGGUAGGCUUUACUCAUGUCCAGCCUUGUUCCAAGGGAACUUUGUAGCGACUGCCAGAACCUCGAAGUGAACCGACUAUCUCUAUCGGAGAUAAUGGAUAUAGGAACACCAUGCAGUCGUAUGAUUUCCUGAAUGUAAGUUCUCGUGAGUUUCUCCAUCAUGUCGGUUUCUUUGAUGGGUAGGAAGUUUGCAGAUUUGGUCAAUCUAUUGACGAUGACCCAAAUGGUAUCAAGUCCACCCGUAGUCUUGGGCAACUUGGUUAUGAAGUCCAUUGUGAUCCGCUCCCACUUCCAUUCCGGUAUUUACGGUGGCUGUAGUAAACCUGAUGGUUUCUGGUAUUCGACCUUAACCUUCGCGCAAGUAAGGCAUUUACUCACGAAGGUAGCAAUCUCUGCUUUCAUGUUAGGCAACCAGUAUAACUUUUUGAGUUCCAGAUACAUCUUAUCUGAACCUGGGUGGACGGAAUAUCGAGUGUUGUGUGCCUCGGUCAUGACCAAGUCUCGGAAGCCAUCGUGUUUCGGUGUCCAGAUCCAGUCCAUGAGGUAUAAGGCUCCGCCACCCUUGACUUCCAAAUUCUUCUCCAUCCCUCGCAAGGAUUCACCUACCACAUUUUUUGGUUUCAAGGCUUCGAGUUGAGCCUCUUUGAUUUGUGUGGCAGAUGCGAAUGGAUAGUCAUAGUCAAUGUUUUGACUCUUCGACCAUAAUAUUCUUUCCGGCUUAGGGCGUCUGCUACUACGUUGGAUUUACCCGGAUGAUAACAAAUUUCACAUUCGUAGUCAUUGGGUAGCUCGACCCACCAUCGUUGCCUCAUAUUGAGUUCCUUCUGGUUGAAGAUGUGUUGCAGGAUUUUGUGAUCUGUCAAGAUCAUGCUUUUUGUACCAUACAGGUAGUGUCUCCAGAUCCUCAGAGCAAACACAACUGCUCCUAACUCAAGACCGUGUGUGGUGUAGUUCACCUCAUGUGUCUUCAGCUGCCUUGAUGCAUAGGCGAUGACCUUACCUCAUUGCAUCAGGACACAUCCGAGCCCUUGAUUUGACGCAUCGCAGUAGACUACGAAGUCUUCUAUUCCUUCGGGAAGGGAUAGUAUCGGUGCGGUGCACAAGGCUCGUUUCAACAUCUGGAAUGCCUUAUCUUGUUUCUCUUCCCAGUCAAAGGCUACACCCUUUUGGGUCAAAGUUGUAAGAGGUUUCGCAAUCCGGGAGAAAUUUUGUAUGAAUCUGCGGUAGUAGCCAGCGAGGCCUAGAAAUUGACGAAUUUCUAUAGGCGUCUUCGGUGCUGACCAGUUCUUAAUGGCCUUAAUUUUGGAUGGGUCCACGUGGAUUCCCUCUUCGUUAACUACGUGUCCUAAGAAUUCGAAUCUUCGGAUCUAAAAUUCGCAUUUUGAGAACUUCACGUAAAGUUUCUCUGAUCAUAGUGUUUCCAAGAUCAGCCGCAGGUGCUUACUAUGCUCCUCCUUACUUCGAGAGUAGAUAAGUAUGCCAUCUAUGAAUAUGAUGAAGAACUAAUCCAAGUAAGGAUGGUACACCCUAUUCAUUAAAUGCAUGAAUACUUCGGGCGCAUUUGUAAAUCUGAAUGGCAUCACUACGAACUCGUAGUGUCCGUAACAAGUUCGGAAGGCUAUCUUUGGAACAUCCUCCUCUAUCGCUCGCAACUGGUGAUACCCAGAUCUCAGAUCAGUAUUUGAAAAGUAAUUCGCCCCUUGCAGUUGGUCGAACAAAUCUGUGACAACCCAAAUUUUACUCCAUUACAUAAUCCCGUUUUCAAUAACGGAAUUCGUCGCUUUAUAAAAAGUUUCGUAGUAUUUGGAGUCGUCAAUAAAUAAAUAUCUAUUUAUUUAUACUCAUGCCAUUAUUAUUUUAGUAUAAGUAAAUAUAACUUGUUAAUGUUAAGCCAGUUAAACAAAAUAAAGUUAUAUUACUUUUCAACCACUUAACCCGGGUAAAAAGUUUAAACCCCGUUAAACUUGAGCAUCGGGUAGUCGUGUACCGGGUGCAAUACCCGAGGCAUAUAUAUGGAAAAUGAAUACCACUUUGCAUCCUUUUACUACCCAAACACACUCUCUCUCACUACUUUCUCUCUCUAGACCCGAUUUCGACUCCAAAACCGCGAUUUCCGGCUUCCAAACGUAAGGUUUUCCUCCCUAACUUGUUCUAAACUUGCAUCAAUGUAUAUAUAGCUGAAAAAUUGUAUGAUUGAGGGGUAAACAAGGAGUUUACAGCCUAAGAAGCUCCUUAGGCCGUAAACACCCAAAACAUGGCCAAAAGUCCAACUUUUCCUUCCUUUAGGCUUGUAUACUAAUUAGGGAUUUUACCUAGAGGUGUUUGGCCAUCAAAACAUGAGAUUUUGAAGCAUAAAAGAGGUUUUAUGGCCCAAGCACAUGCUUAGGCCGUAAACACCCUUUUUCCAUGUAAAAUUGCCCCAAAAACUCAUCCAAUGCAUGUUAGACUUGAGAUAUGAUUUUAGGAAAUGCCAUUUCGGGUUUAGGGCCAUCAAACAUCACAUUUUAAGGCGUAAUUUAGAGUUUACGGCCCAACCACAAUCGAGGACCGUAAACUCCCCCAAACAUCACCAAAUGAGGGUUUAAAACCCCAAAUUGACCCUAGACCUUCACUAGGAAAAUUAAGGGAUUGAUUUAAGACCUUUGGCAUCAAUUUUGGAGAGUGAAAAAGAGUUCACGGCCAAUCCAUGAGGCUUACGGCCGUAAACUCCCAAGGAGUGGCCUUUGGGCCAUAAACUCCAAGGGAGUAAACUCUUAGACUCCCCGUAACCCCCUUUUUGUCUUGUACAAUCCCCGAGAACCACUUCCAAUCCAUAAGACCCCGAAUCAAUGUUAGAAUAUGUAAAUGUUUUAAUAAAAAGCAUAAAAUGACUAAUAUCUUGUAAAACACAUAUCUCAUAUGUUAAUAGGGUCCUAAACGGUGUACAAGUCCUUAAUUGACACCAAACGCUCAACCGACACUUUUACCCGAUUUACCCGACUUCAGGUGAGUUCAUACCCCUUAAUGAACCUUUCUAAUGUUUUCAUAUGUUUUAGGGGGGGAUACAAGUCAAAUAUACAUUUUUAUGGAAAUCAAUCACACGUGAUUUACUAUCCGUAGUUCAAAUCACAUGUGAUUUAUCACUAUGCUUUAUAAAAGAACUUUACGUUUUCAAAACUACUUUGGAAAAACAAACUGUUUUCUAAAUGCUUUCUUUCGUUAAGAUUUUAUUUAAAUUACUUUUCUUAUAAAAUGUACCUACACUAAUAUAUUUAUAUAAGUAAUACUUGAAGGACUUAGGACGAUAGCUCGCCUUAUUUCCUGUUCUUGUUUGAUUGUGGGCUUAGGGUUUUUGUUAUCCGUCCGACUGUUGUUGAAUUCUUAGUUAUAUAUCAUAUAUAUUGGUGUUAGGUACGAGCAUUUUCAUCUCAUUCAAUGCCUAUAUUACUGAAUUACCAAGAACCAUACACACUAAGUUAACUAUAAUAGGUAUAGUUAAGGCUACUACUACUCGUUACUACUACUACUGUACACGCUAUAAUUCAUACUAAUGCAAGUUGAUAUAUGAAUAAGAGAACUCAUUAUGAACUAUACAAAAGACUACUACACUAUAAUACAAGAGAAAACACUAAUCCAGAGUAUAACACACUAAUCCGCUACAAGACACUCUACGCGCUACAUAUUGUGACCAGGGCUUUCCGGAAGGAAGGAGACGCUACAUGUAUAGAUCUAUACGGGGCAGACACUACUAUAUCCCGACUGUUAACCUUAGUCCGAGUCGAACAGGCCCAAGGAUGGCACUACUUCACUACACUAUGUAUGACCGGGAAGGUCAUGGGAUUCACUAUUUUUCACACUAUUGGUCACAUAAAAGGAAUACACCAUAUUCACACUAAAAUACUAAGACUAAAGUCUAAGUUAGUAUCCCGAAGUAAAUAAGUAUCUAUUACUAAUGGGAGUUUGCACCACUAUUACUGACGACAAGCAUAACUUUUCUUAUUACACUACUUAUUGGAGAUUUACUAAUAUGUUUUUACAACAAACGGUUUUCAAUGAUGAAACUUACAUGCAACUUAAAGGUUUUCACUUACAAUGCAUUUUUUGGAAAAUAUAGGAUUUUCUAGGGUUUUCUACUAUUUAUAAAUGUAAAUUGCAGUUUUUCACACUAUAUGUUCUAAUAUAUUUUAUACAAAAUCCACACUAAACUCUUAUGAACUCACCAGCUUUAUGCUGAUACUCGUUUUCAAAAUAACUUGUAUCCUCAGGUCAAAGAUAGACAGGUACAGGUGCAUCAUUUUGGGAGAAGAUGGAGCAUACAAGAUCCAUCUCUUAUUUUUGUAUUACUUUUGGUGCCUAUUGAACUUUACAGAACACGCAUGUAAUUAAACUCACUGUGUAAUGAAAUGGCUGUACGUUUCUUGUUUUUACUACUAUGCAAUUGUGAUGAUACUGUACAUGACGUCCUCCACCCCGAAACGUAUUCCGCCGUUAUCGGUUUUGGGGUGUGACAGAUAGGUAUCAGAGCAUUGUUUAUAGUGAAUCAAGUAUAUCAACCUAUAAAAGAUAUACGAACUAUAAACACUUCGGGACUAAAACACUCUAACCAAGAAUAUAUACUGUUAAGUAUUUAAAAUAUUUAACUAAGUAUAUAUAUGCACACGCCUCUAUAAAACACAGAAGUCAGUAUCACACUAGAACAGAAAAAAAGUAAUUAGUACGCCUAUUAACCAUUCUUUCCCCUUUCCCAUGUAGAUAGCAUGGCUGGUUUCCACCUUACCGGCGAUCCGUACCCCCGAACCAGGGCAAUGGAGGAUGGCUCGACGAAGAGUCGGACGAUGAUCACCAGAUCCCUAUGGAUGACCACCGAGUAGACGGCUUUUUGGAUAGCUCCGACUCCAAGCCAGAAGUUAACAAUCUGCCUCCCGAAGCUCCAAACCCCAACCCCCGUCCGGCAUUUUAGGGUCCCACUCCCAUGUGGACAAUAUCCCUGAACCGAUGGAGUGAGGAGCAAGGCCAGCCUUUACCUUACAAUGGAGACCGAAGCUUCUACAACAUAAGCGAAGGAGGAUCAGCUGAUCGGGUUCUUCCCAUCAUGGUCCGAAGGAUUGCCAGGAAUGUAGAGCAGGGUCAAGCAGUCACUGGUCGAGUUGCAGAAGUGGAUGCCAACUCAAAUCUCAACACUACUCGCAUUCGCCAACUUGAAGAAGCCAUGGACAGGACCAGGAGGACCAACAAGGCUCUGCAGCAACAACUAGCUACAUCCCGAGCCGAAGUUAGGGAACUCCGAGCACGCCAAAGGACUCAUGAACGACACCUACAGGAAGUUAUGCGUCAACUAGCGAAUCUAAGGGUCCGCCCAACAAGUAACCGUCGCCCGUAGAAGACGUCUAGUUACCUCACUCUUUUGUUUAAAGGACUAGCCUUUCCUCUCUAUGUUUCCUGGAUCUCUUGUCUGUAAACAUUCCUAGCUUAAAAGUACUCUAACUAGACCUCUCGACUGCCACCAUUUUCCUUAUGGUUUGAUGUAAGACCUACUGUUAGGCCGUUUUUCAUGAACUUGUAUUACAUCAUUAAUACCAGUAAAUUGGCAGUUAAUUACUUCAUUGUUAUGACUCUCAUUCUGAUUCUUGGGAUUAUGUUGAUUAAAUCCAUGAAACACUCUAUUCAUAUUCGCAAUAGACUCUUACUAUUGCUAUCAUUUCUAUGAUCUUCCAGUGAAAGAUGUCUCCUCGAAAGCGUCCAAACAGAGGGAGACCAGCAACUCAAACCACUCCUCCGCCACCUCCUCCUCCGCAAUUCGACCCAGUGCUGUUCCAAACACCUGUGACCACAGCUGUGAUAGCAGCCAUGGCUCAAAUGAACUCUGGUGAUGUGAGCGGUGGAAAUUCUAGAUUUGGUGAAGCCCAUCCAAUAGUGCAGGGAUGCACUUAUAAGGACUUCAUGAACUGUAAACCUGCCUUUUUCGAUGGUUCUGGAGGAAUUCUAGCAUUGUCUCAGUGGUUCGAAAGAUCCGAAGCUGUCUUUGAAAUGUGCUCUUGUCCCGAAGAGAGCAAAAUCAAGUUCGCUACUGCCACCCUCACUAACAGGUCCUUGACAUGGUGGAACGGCCAUGUCAGUGCACUCUCCUUGGUAACAGCCAAUGCUAUGGGCUGGGACACUCUAAAAGACCUUAUGAGGAGGGAGUACUGCCCGAGGGGCGAAAUUCAGAAGCUUGAGGAAGAACUCUGGAACCUCAAGAUGAAAGGGACUGACAUAAUAGCUUACACGGCCAGGUUCUGUGACUUGGCGGCUAUGUGUCCCAACAUGAUCCCGUCUGAAAGCAAGAAUAUUGAACGAUACAUCUGGGGUUUAAUGCCCCCGCAUCAAGGAAAUGUUCUAGCCUCACGUCGUACCACCUUCGACAGUGCCAAGGAAUUGGCCCAAAGUCUAAUCAACCAUGAAGUCUCUUCCACUCCAGCAACAACAACUGCAACUGCCACUGCACCACCCNNNNNNNNNNNNNNNNNNNNNNNNNNNNNNNNNNNNNNNNNNNNNNNNNNNNNNNNNNNNNNNNNNNNNNNNNNNNNNNNNNNNNNNNNNNNNNNNNNNNNNNNNNNNNNNNNNNNNNNNNNNNNNNNNNNNNNNNNNNNNNNNNNUUUUUUUUUUCCCCCCCACACCGCCCCCUGCCGUGAAUUGCAGUGUUCCAACUGCGGUCGGAAGGGCCAUACUGUGCGAUUCUGCAGGGCCCCUCCCAAACUUAUCUCGCAAGUUUCCGGUUCGGGAGUGACCCAGACUUGCUAUGGCUGCGGUGAAGCUGGUCAUUUCAAGAAAAACUGUCCGAAGGCUGGGAAUGCAGGAGGAACUGGAAGGCUACUCGCCAUUGGUCACAAUGAAGCAGUGGCAGAUCCCACAGUAGUCACGGGUACGUUUCUUCUCAACAAUUCUUAUGCCUGUAUCUUAUUCAAUAGUGGUGCAGAAAGAAGCUUCAUAAACCAAAACUUUAAACACUUACUCAAACAAUCCCCGCAACCACUAAAAGAAACAUUUGUCGUAGAAAUGGAUAACGGGAAGACCGAAAGCUCUAAUGAAAUCUACAUAGGUUGUACCUUCACGUUAGACGAUCACUCAUUUCCAAUCGAUCUCAUACCAGUCUCUAUCAAGAGUUUCGAUGUCAUUGUCAGUAUGGACUGGUUGAGUCUUCAUCGUGCCGAUAUCCUAUGCUCCGACAAAGCCAUUCGCCUGAAUCUUCCGAACCAUGAAACUCUAUUGAUCUAUGGACAUAAACCCGGUACGAGCCUUCGUAUCAUCUCUAGUAUCCAGGCUCAGAAAUACUUGCGUAAGGAAUACCGCGCCUUUCUUGCUCACAUUGUCGACACCAGCCAGAAAGCAAAAGAUCCGAAGGACAUCCCCGUUGUAUGCGAUUUCCCCGAUGUCUUUCCGGAGGACCUUCCGGGUCUACCUCCCAAACGUCAGGUUGAGUUUAGAAUCGACCAAGUUCCAGGAGCUACCCCCGUAGCUAAGUCGCCCUAUCGUUUAGCGCAUGUCGAGAUGCAAGAACUAUCCGGUCAACUUAACGAGAUGCUCAGCAAGGGCUUUAUAAGACCGAGCUUCUCACCUUGGGGAGCUCCGGUCUUGUUCGUAAAGAAGAAGGAUGGAUCGUUCUGUAUGUGCAUCGAUUAUAGGGAACUCAACAAACUCACGGUCAAAAAUCGCUAACCUCUCCCUCGUAUCGACGACCUAUUUGACCAACUACAAGGAGCGAGUUACUUCUCCAAGAUUGAUCUUCGCUCUGGGUAUCACUAGUUACGGGUGCUUGAGGAAGAUGUUCCGAAGACAGCUUUCCGAACCCGUUACGGGCACUUCGAGUUCGUAGUGAUGCCCUUUGGACUGACUAACGCCCCCGCAGUAUUCAUGGACUUGAUGAAUAGGGUAUGUCGUCCAUAUCUAGAUCAGUUCGUCAUCGUCUUUAUUGAUGAUAUACUCGUCUACUCUCGGAGCGAGGAAGAGCACAGAGAUCAUUUACGAUGAGUCCUGGAAACCCUGCGAUCAGAGAAGUUAUAUGCGAAGUUCUCUAAAUGCGAAUUUUGGAUCCGAAGAGUUGAAUUCUUAGGACAUGUGGUCAGUGAAGAAGGAAUCCACGUGGAUCCCUCCAAAAUUAAAGCUAUUGAGAACUGGGCAGCACCGAAGACGCCUACAGAAAUUUGUCAAUUUCUAGGCCUCGCUGGCUACUACCACAGAUUCAUCCAAAACUUCUCUCGGAUUGCGAAACCUCUCACCAUGUUGACACAGAAGGGCGUAACAUUCGACUGGGAAGAGAAACAGGAGAAGGCAUUCCAGACCCUGGAGCGAGCCCUAUGCACUGCACCAGUAUUAUCCCUGCCCGAGGGAACAGAAGAUUUCGUUGUAUACUGCGAUGCAUCGAAUCAGGGGCUCGGUUGUGUCUUGAUGCAACGAGGUAAGGUUAUCGCCUAUGCUUCAAGACAGCUAAAGACACAUGAGGUAAACUACACUACUCACGACCUCGAAUUAGGAGCGGUCGUCUUCGCACUAAAAAUAUGGAGACACUACUUGUACGGGACGAAGAGCAUAGUGUAGGGGUGAGCAUUUGGACCGGUGGACCGGACCGGACCGGACCGUUUUUUUGGACCCCCGGGCCGGUUCUCGGUUCUAAGAUUUCUCGCCGGUCCGGUCCGGUUUUUUUCCCGGUCCGGUCCGGUUUUUACCGGGUUUAGAACCGGUUGGACAUGAUUAAGAUUUUUGUGACGUUUUUUAAACGCACAUAACUCAUUCGUUUUAAGUCGGAUUGACCUGCGGUUUUUUCCAACAUUUAGUUUACAGUUUGUAGAUGAAUUUAGACUAUAAUUUUGUUUAUUUUGGUAUUAUAUUCACCGUGUUACAAUCCUUCAAAGUAGAGCUAUCAAAGCUGAAAAAAUUCAGCUUUUCAGCAACAUUUUGUAAGCUGUGACGUUUUUUAAACACCCAUAACUCAUUCGUUUUAAGUCGGAUUGACCUCCGAUUUUUUCCAACAUUUAGUUUACAGUUUGUAGAUGAGUUUAGACUAUAAUUUUGUUUAUUUUGGUAUUAUAUUCACUGAGCUACAAUCCUUUAAAGUAGAGCUAUCAAAGUUGAAAAAAUUCAGCUUUUUAGCAAGAUUUUAUAAUCUGUGACGUUUUUUAAACACCCAUAACUCAUUCGUUUUAAGUCGGAUUGACCUACGGUUUUUUCCAACAUUUAGUUUACAAUUUGUAGAUGAAUUUAGACUAUAAUUUUGUUUAUUUUGGUAUUAUAUUCAUUGAGUUACAAUCCUUCAAAGUAGAGCUAUCAAAGCUGAAAUAUUUCAGCUUUUUAGUAUUAUUUUAUACUAUAAUUCCGAGUCCGCGUUUAGCACUUGUGGUAGAGUUGUAAGUGAGUAUCAAACUAGUUUAUCGACAUUGAUAGUUGAAGCUUUGUUAUGCACCCAAGAUUGGGUGAUAAAGUUUACAAAUCCGAUAGUUGACAACGUUGGUGACAUCUUGAACGAUGAUGAUAUAGCUUUGGGUAAAAAAAUUACAAUCUUUAUUCUUUUUUUAUACAAUUAUUACUUUUUAUUAAAUACUAACAACAUUUUCAUUUGUGUUUAUGUAGAGAUUGCACAAGCUUUAAAUAUGUUACAUAUGGAUGACAAUGAUAUGGGGAAGAGGCCAAUGGAAGAUUAGAUUAUGAGUUUAUGAAAUUUGUUAGUUUGAUUGAUUUUAAAGUUUAAACUAUGAUUUUUGUUGUUACGGUAAUACUUUUGUAUGUUUGUCUUAAAAUUGUUUAACUUUUGUUGGUGAACUUGAUUUAUAUGUUAGUUGCUUUUAUUUGGAAAAUUAAUUUUUGCAAAUUGCAAGUUAUAAUAUUAUACAUCAAUGUAGAUUAGUUAGGCAUGAAACGGAAACAUAUUAAUUUUGCAAGUUAUAAUAUUAUACAUCAAUGUAGAUUACUUAUUAUACUCUAUGCAAUUAAAGUUGUACCGGUCCAAACGGGUCCAAAAACCGGAAAACCCGGACCUGGACCCGGACACGGACACAGACACGGACACGACUCAUCCGGUCCGGUCCAUGGUCCACAAAAUUCUCCAUAACCGGUCCGGUCCAAGAGCCGGUCCGGUCCGGUUCGGUCCGGGCCGGUCCAAAUGCUCACUCCUAGCAUAGUGUACACUGAUCAUAAAAGCCUCCAACACAUACUAAACCAGAAAGAGCUCAAUAUGAGACAACGCCGAUGGGUCGAGCUACUCAACGAUUACGAUUGCGAAAUUCGAUAUCACCCGGGGAAAGCCAACGUGGUAGCAGACGCCCUGAGUAGGAAAGAGUAUUAUGGUCGAAGAACCAAGUCGUUGACAAUGACUAUCCAUUCGCAUCUGUCCGCACAGAUCAAGGAGGCUCAGCUUGAAGCCUAAGAAUGUGACGGGAGAAUCCCUGCGCGGAACGGAUAAGAGUUUGGAGGUAAAGGGUGAUGGAGCCUACUAUCUCAUGGACCAAAUAUGGACCCCGCGACACGGAGGUUUUAGAGAGGUGGUCAUGAAGGAAGCACACAACACUCGAUACUCCGUCCACCCAGGUUCAGAUAAGAUGUAUCUGGAUCUCAAAAAGCUAUAUUGGUGGCCUAACAUGAAAGCGGAGAUUGCUACCUUCGUGAGUAAGUGCCUUACUUGCGAGAAGGUCAAGGUCGAAUAUCAAAAGCCAUCGGGACUCCUCCAACAACCGGAGAUACCGGAAUGGAAGUGGGAGCGGAUUACAAUGGACUUUAUAACCAAGCUGCCCAAGACAACGGGUGGGUUGGAUACCAUUUGGGUCAUCGUCGACAAGUUGACCAAGUCUGCACACUUCCUACCCAUUAAAGAAACGGACAAGAUGGAGAAGCUCACAAGAACAUACAUUAACGAAAUAGUACGGCUGCAUGGCGUCCUUAUAUCUAUUAUCUCAGACAGAGAUAAUAGAUUUACCUCGAGAUUUUGGCAAUCACUACAAGAGGCACUAGGGACGAGGCUGGACAUGAGUACAACCUACCAUCUACAGACUGACGGACAAAGUGAGAGAACGAUCCAAACCUUAGAAGAUAUGUUGCGAGCUUGUGUGAUCGACUUCGGUAAAUCGUGGGAUACACACUUACCCCUUGUGGAGUUUUCCUACAAUAAUAGUUAUCAUACGAGCAUCAAGGCAGCUCCAUUCGAAGCCCUCUACGGCCGGAAGUGUAGAUCCCCUCUGUGCUGGGCUGAGGUGGGUGACACUCAGUUAGCUAAAGGACGAGUUCCUGACAGCGCUUUCACUGGUCCGGAGAUCAUUCGAGAAACGACCGAGAAGAUUAUACAGAUUCGUGAACGAUUAAAAGCCGCUAGGGAUCGACAGAAAAGCUACGCAGACAAGCGAAGAAAACCCAUGGAAUUCCAGGUGGGAGACCGAGUCCUUUUGAGGGUCUCGCCCUGGAAGGGCACGAUACGCUUCGGAAAGCAUGGAAAGCUGAACCCAAGGUACAUAGGGCCUUUUGAGAUUCUCGUUAGAAUCGGCCCUGUAGCCUACAAACUCAACCUACCCCACGCAUUAAGUAACAUACAUCCUACCUUCCACGUCUCAAACUUGAAGAAAUGCCUGUCCUACGAGAUCGAGGUCAAUGAGAGCCUCAACUUCGUGGAAGAGCCCGCGGAAAUUAUGGACCGAGAAGUGAAACGAACGAAACAAAGCUGCAUCCCAAUUGUGAAGGUUCGGUGGAACGCCAAGCGGGGACCGGAAUUCACUUGGGAGCACGAGGAUCAAAUGAAACUCAGAUAUCCCCAUCUUUUCGCAUAGUAGUUCUGUACUGACUUUCUGUAUGAAUUCUAAAUUUCGAGACGAAAUUCCCCUAACGGGGGGAUGAUGUGACAACCCAAAUUUUAUUCCGUUACAUAAUCCCGUUUUCACUAAUGGAAUUCGUCGCUUUAUAAAAGGUUCCGUAAUAUUUGGAGUCGUCAAUAAAUAAAUAUCAAUUUAUUUAUAUUCAUGUCAUUAUUAUUUUAUUAUAAGUAAAUAUAACUUGUUAAUGUUAAGCCAGUUAAACAAAAUCAAGUUAUAUUACUUUUCAACCACUUAACCCAGGUAAAAAGUUUAAACCCCGUUAAACUUGAGCAUCGGGUAGUCGUGUACCGGGUGCAAUACCCGAGGCAUAUAUACGGAAAUUGGAUACCACUUUGCAUCCUUUUACCACCCAAACACACUCUCUCUCACUACUUUCUCUCUCUAGACCCGAUUUUGACUCCAAAACUGCGAUUUCCGGCUUCCAAACGUAAGGUUUUCCUCCCUAACUUGUUCUAAACUUGCAUCAAUGUAUAUAUAGCUGAAAAAUUGUAUGAUUAAGAGGUAAACAAGGAGUUUAUGGCCGAAGAAGCUCCUUAGGCCGUAAACACCCAAAACAUGGCCAAAAGUCCAACUUUUCCUUCCUUUAGGCUUGUAUACUAAUUAGGGAUUUUACCUAGAGGUGUUUGGCCAUCAAAACAUGAGAUUUUGAAGCAUAAAAGAGGGUUUACGGCCCAAGCACAUGCUUAGGCCGUAAACACCCAUUUUUCCAUGUAAAAUUGUCCCAAAAACUCAUCCAAUGCAUGUUAGACUUGAGAUAUGAUUUUAGGAAAUGCCAUUUCGGGUUUAGGGCCAUCAAACAUCACAUUUUAAGGGGUAAUUUAGAGUUUACGGCCCAAGCACAAGCUAGGACCGUAAACUCCCCCAAACAUCACCAAAUGAGGGUUUAAAACCCCAAGUUGACCCUAGACCUUCACUAGAAAAAUUAAGGGAUUGAUUUAAGACCUUUGGCAUCAAUUUUGGAGAGUGAAAAAGAGUUCACGGCCAAUCCAUGAGGCUUACGGCCGUAAACUCCCAAGGAGUGGCCUUUGGGCCAUAAACUCCAAGGGAGUAAACUCUUAGACUCCCCGUAACCCCCUUUUUGUCUUGUACAAUCCCCGAGAACCACUUCCAAUCCAUAAGACCCCGAAUCAAUGUUAGAAUAUGUAAAUGUUUUAAUAAAAAGCAUAAAAUGACUAAUAUCUUGUAAAACACAUAUCUCAUAUGUUAAUAGGGUCCUAAACGGUGUACAAGUCCUUAAUUGACACCAAACGCUCAACCGACACUUUUACCCGAUUUACCCGACUUCAGGUGAGUUCAUACCCCUUAAUGAACCUUUCUAAUGUUUUCAUAUGUUUUAGGGGGGGAUACAAGUCAAAUAUACAUUUUUAUGGAAAUCAAUCACACGUGAUUUACUAUCCGUAGUUCAAAUCACAUGUGAUUUAUCACUAUGCUUUAUAAAAGAACUUUACGUUUUCAAAACUACUUUGGAAAAAUAAACUGUUUUCUAAAUGCUUUCUUUCAUUAAGAUUUUAUUUAAAUUACUUUUCUUAUAAAAUGUACCUACACUAAUAUAUUUAUAUAAGUAAUACUUGAAGGACUUAGGACGAUAGCUCGCCUUAUUUCCUGUUCUUGUUUGAUUGUGGGCUUAGGGUUUUUGUUAUCCGUCCGACUGUUGUUGAAUUCUUAGUUAUAUAUCAUAUAUAUUGGUGUUAGGUACGAGCAUUUUCAUCUCAUUCAAUGCCUAUAUUACUGAAUUACCAAGAACCAUACACACUAAGUUAACUAUAAUAGGUAUAGUUAAGGCUACUACUACUCGUUACUACUACUACUGUACACGCUAUAAUUCAUACUAAUGCAAGUUGAUAUAUGAAUAAGAGAACUCAUUAUGAACUAUACAAAAGACUACUACACUAUAAUACAAGAGAAAACACUAAUCCAGAGUAUAACACACUAAUCCGCUACAAGACACUCUACGCGCUACAUAUUGUGACCAGGGCUUUCCGGAAGGAAGGCGACGCUACAUGUAUAGAUCUAUACGGGGCAGACACUACUAUAUCCCGACUGUUAACCUUAGUCCGAGUCGAACAGGCCCAAGGAUGGCACUACUUCACUACACUAUGUAUGACCGGGAAGGUCAUGGGAUUCACUAUUUUUCACACUAUUGGUCACAUAAAAGGAAUACACCAUAUUCACACUAAAAUACUAAGACUAAAGUCUAAGUUAGUAUCCCGAAGUAAAUAAGUAUCUAUUACUAAUGGGAGUUUGCACCACUAUUACUGACGACAAGCAUAACUUUUCUUAUUACACUACUUAUUGGAGAUUUACUAAUAUGUUUUUACAACAAACGGUUUUCAAUGAUGAAACUUACAUGCAACUUAAAGGUUUUCACUUACAAUGCAUUUUUUGGAAAAUAUAGGAUUUUCUAGGGUUUUCUACUAUUUAUAAAUGUAAAUUGCAGUUUUUCACACUAUAUGUUCUAAUAUAUUUUAUACAAAAUCCACACUAAACUCUUAUGAACUCACCAGCUUUAUGCGGAUACUCAUUUUCAAAAUAACUUGUAUCCUCAGGUCAAAGAUAGACAGGUACAGGUGCAGCAUUUUGGGAGAAGAUGGAGCAUAUAAGAUCCAUCUCUUAUUUUUGUAUUACUUUUGGUGUCUAUUGAACUUUAUAGAACACGCAUGUAAUUAAACUCACUAUGUAAUGAAAUGGUUGUAUGUUUCUUGGUUUUACUAUUAUGCAAUUGUGAUGAUACUGUACAUGACGUCCUCCACCCCGAAACGUAUUCCGUCGUUAUUGGUUUUGGGGUGUGACAAAAUCGUCUUUAUUGAGCUCUCUUUAGUCGAUACACAUACGGAACGAUCCAUCUUUCUUCUUUACGAACAAGACCGGUGCUCCCCAUGGUGUGAAGCUUGGUCUAAUAAAGCCCUUGUUGAGCAGUUCUUUAAGUUGACCAGACAGUUCUUGCAUCUCGGUUGGUGCUAGACGAUAAGACGACUUUCCUAUUAGGGUAGCCCCUGGUACUAAGUCGAUUCUGAACUCGACUUGUCAUUGCGGAGGUAACCCUGGUAGUUCUUCUGGAAAGAUGUCGGGAAAGUCGCAUACUACGGGGUUGUUCUUUAGGUCUUUGGUUUCUCGGCUCAUAUCAACAACGUGUGCAAGGAAUGCACGAUAUUCCUUACAUAUGUACUUUUCAGCUUGAAUACUAGAGAUGAUGCUACGGUUUGUGCCAGGUUUGUCGCCGUAGAUGAUGAGAGUUUCGUUGGCGAACAACCUUUUCAUAACACAUAAUGUCCGCACGAUGUAGACUCAACCAAUCCAUGUCGAUGAUGACGUCAAAGCUUUUUAUUGAGACCGACAUAGGUUGAUUGGAAAUUAAUGGCUAUCUAGAAUUAGAGUACAUCCUAUGUAUAUACUACUAGUGCUCUCAGUCUUCCCAUUAGCCAUUUCUACAGUGAAUGGUUCUUUAAGUGUGUGUGGUUGUUGUUUAAGUAAGCAUGCAAAAUUUUGGUUUACGAAACUUCUCUCUGCUCCACUAUCAAAUAGGAUGUAUGCUUAAGAAUUUUCAAGGAUAAACAUACCCGUCACCACCGUAGGGUUAGCAACUGUUUUCCCAUGGCCUAUAGCCAAAACUCUUCCCACUCCACCAGCAUUUCCGGCUUUGGGGCAGUACCUUUUGUAGCAGCCCACUUCGCCACAUCCAUAGCAUGACUAAGUCACACCAGCACUAGGAACCUGGUUAAUUGACCGUUAAUUGACCUUGCCAGGGCUUUGCAGAAGCAGACAGUGUGCCCCUUCCUGUUGCAGUUGGAACACGACGUCUCUCGAUAGGGUCCAUUGUGGUGGAAGCUGCAUUUGUUGCACUUCGGUAAGUUCCCAAUGUAUUGUUUCACCGGAGCAGUAGGAGCAGCUGCUAUCGUGGCAUGAACCACCACAAUCUGCUGCUUUUUGGUAGCUUUUCGUUUCUUCUUGUCAUCCCAAGACUUUCGCUUAUUGUCAGCGGUCUUGGAGGGUUCAGAGAUGGCUAAGGUUGUUGUCGAUGACGGGGUAUGGACUCCAUGAUCGGUGAGCCGUUGUGCCAAUUGCUUGACACUGUCAAAAGUAGUAGGGUUUGAAGAUAAGACAUUUCGCUGAUACGGAGGCACUAGUCUCUAGAUGUACCUCUCGAUUUUCUUUCCCUCCGUGGGAACCAUGUUGGGACAGAGGGCCACCAGUUCGCUGAAUCUGGCGAUAUAAGCGACUACGUUGGAGCCCUUCAUGGUUAGGCUCCAAAGCUCUUGUUCUAACUUCUGGAUUUCGCCCCUCAGGUAGUAUUCCUCGAUCAUGAGGUCUUUUAGAGUUUCCCAGCCCAUGUCAUUUGCCAGUAUGAGAGUUAGUGACUUGACAUGGCCAUUCCACCAUGUCAAGGCUUUUUCUUCGAAGGUGCACGCAACAAAUUUGAAUUUGCUCACAGCAGGGCAGGAGCAAAUCUCGAAGAUCGACUCCGUCUUCUCGAACUAUUGCGAGAGGGCAAUGACUCCGCCAGUCCCUUUAAAGGACUUUGGCUUGCAGUUAGUGAAUUCCUUGUAGGAGCACUCUCUCAAGCGCACAAGGAUUUCACCUUGAGUAGAAUGAACCGGCAUUCCAACUCUGCUGGCACCGAUGGAGUGAUACUGAGCCAUGGCAGUUGCCACCGCUGUAGCUACUGCAACAUUCAGAGAUGCCGUAUCGAUUACUGGGGGAGGUGGUGGUGGAGGUGAAGGAUUACGCCUGGUUGAUUUGUGGGGAUGCAUCAUUCAACUAUAAGUUUACAAAGAUGAACGUGAUAGUUAGAAGCAAUUGUAAGCAUAGCAAGAGUGAUCCAUUGGCUAAAUCGCCAUAGUCGAACAAUUGAAUGAGUGUAUGUUUCGAAAUAGAAGCACAAUAGAAGAGUAGGGAAACAUAAGAGUACGGAUUUUCCAACAGAUUUGAUAACUGUCAAUAUUACUCGUAUUAUUGAUGUAACAAGUUUGGGGAAAAAUGACCUAAUAGUAGGUCUUACAUCAAACCAUAAGGGAAAAAAGGUUGACAGUUUUUAGAAAACUAGAUAAAGUACUUAGAAGAUAGGAAUAUUCUACAGACAAGUGCUACUUAGAGCACAGUUAGGAAAGGCUAUUCCUUAAACCAAAAGAAAAGAUGUACUAAACAUCUUCUACCGGCGAUGGGAAUUCCUCGGGAGAAUCCUCAUAUCCGCCAGUUGACGUACCACCUCUUGGAGAUGUCGCUCAUGAGCCCUCUGACGAACUCGAAGUUCUGUGACUUCGGCUCGGGAUGCAGCUAACUGUUGUCGUAGAGCCGCAUUGGCUCUUCUCGUCCCAUCAGCAACGUCUUCCAGAUGUUGAAUGCAGACGGUGUUAACGCCUAAGUUGGCAUCAAUUUCCAUGACCCGGUCUAUGGCUGCUCGACCUUGCUCGACAUUACAAGCAAUUCUGCGGAUCAUGACAGACAGAGCUCGAUCCGCAGAGCCACCUUCGCUAAGGUUGUAAAAGCUUCGGUCCCCAUAGUAAGGUAAGGGUUGACCCUAUUCGUCGCUCCAACGAUUCAAGUUUGUCGCCCACAAGGGUGUGGGGCCUUGAAAUGCUGGUUUGGGGUUGUUAUUUGGGGCUUGACCUACUUGGGGUAGGUUGUUGACUUCAGGAUCUGAGUCAGCACUAUCAGAGAAGCCUUCAGCAUGGUGAUCAUCCAUAGGGAUUGGGUGAUCAUUUUCUAGUUCUUCCUCUAUCCGUCCAUCAUUGCCUUCGUUUGGGAAGUACGGGUCGCCGUGGGGAUGGAAUCCAGCCAUGAUAUCUACGCGAGAAAAGGGAUAUAAGAAUCUUAUAUAAAUAGAUGUACUAAUUAAGAUAAUUAUAGGAUGAUCCUUACCAGUACUUCAAUACUUGCAUAGUGUGUACCAGUUAUAUGAAAUCAAAACAGGAUAAACCUUCGAAUAAGUGACCCUAACUCCAAGUCCACAACCAAACAAGGAACAAGAAGUGAAGCAAAGAUCACAGAUUCUAAGUCUAUGACAUCUUAAUCUCAUAUAACCUUAGUGUAUCCACAUAGCAACUAUUGAGCCACUUAUUAAAGACCUUUUUAGUUCUCAAACAAGUAAUUAUAGUAAUACAAAAUACUCCUAUAGUAUUUUAGGUUUAUGUUCUAUUCAAAUGUUUUCAUUGUAGUAGUGUUGGUAUGUUUUUAGACUUGUUGCCAUAUCACAACCAUUAUUGGGCAAAUGUUAAUCACUUCUCGGACCAGCAUAGCUGAUCAGGCUAUGCCACUCCCAGGACUGACCAUACAUCCCCAGGCCUACUUUGUGACAUUCAACAAUCGUAAUACUUUUGUUCUGUCCUAGUGACACUGGUUUUAGUAUGAAUGCAGGUAUGUAUACUUAGUUAAAUAUUUUAUUAUUUAAAAGUAUAAACUCUUGGUCAGAGUAUUCUAAUCCCACUGUGUUUAUAGUUAGCAUAUCUUUUAUGGGUUGAUACACUCAAUUCACUAUAAACAAUGCUCUGAUACCAAUCUGUAACACCCUAAAACAGGAACGACAGAAACGUUCAGGGGUGGAGGACGUCAUAUAUAGUAUCACAACACAGAAUAAUAGUAAACAAGUAAACAACAUCAUAUAUUGCAUUACUAAUAUAAUUUUAAUACAAGUGUGUUCUAUGGUUUAUAAGACACCAAAAUAUAAAUCAAAAAUAAAAGAUGAGUCUUGUGUGUGCUCCAUCUUCUCAAAAGCUGUCCUCGGUACCUGAUUACUGAUGACCUGAGAAUACAAGUUAUUUUAAAAGAGUUUAUCAGCAUUAAAACUGGUGAGUUCAUAGUUAUUUGUAUGAAAAUGUUUGUAAGUGUUUGAAUGUAAAAGCUUGUAAAAGUUGGUAGUAAGUUGUAAGUGUUUGCUAGUAGUAAAAUGUUCGUUGUAAAUGUUUGUAAAACUUGUUUGUAAAAUGUAUGUAUCUCUCUAGAAAAUCCCAUAUUUUCUACUAAACUGUAGUUUUCUACCAAGACUCAAUGUUCGGUUUGUUUGUUUGUAAAAGUAUGUAUCAUUCCCAAGUUUAACUAUCAUUAUCAAAAUAUAGUUUGUACAUUAUCGUUUAUCUAGAAAAUGUUACAAGGCAAAUGUAUUAGGGAAAAUAUUAUAGAACUGUAGUUUGUAUAUGUAAACUACCUUAAUACUGCUUACCUUAAAGCCAGUAAACUAUAAGGUAAGGUGAGAUUUGUAACCAUACUGAUUGGCAGCUGAAUAAACACGACGAUGAAAGACGUCGAAAACAAAUGUGACAUUUGUCACCCCAUCGGCUUGGUUGGCCUAAGACUGUAGCUAACAGUCAGGGCGUGGGAUAGUCUUUCCCGUAUAGAUCUAUACACACAAUGCCCGCUCUCCCUCUAGGAGACUAUGGUUACC
rnacentral:lncRNA from 1 species